GAUGAACGCUGGCGGCGUGCCUAAUACAUGCAAGUCGAGCGAACGGACGAGAAGCUUGCUUCUCUGAUGUUAGCGGCGGACGGGUGAGUAACACGUGGAUAACCUACCUAUAAGACUGGGAUAACUUCGGGAAACCGGAGCUAACACCGGAUAAUAUGUUGAACCGCAUGGUUCAAAAGUGAAAGACGGUCUUGCUGUCACUUAUAGAUGUAUCCGGGCUGCAUUAGCUAGUUGGUAAGGUAACGGCUUACCAAGGCAACGAUGCAUAGCCGACCUGAGAGGGUGAUCGGCCACACUGGAACUGAGACACGGUCCAGACUCCUACGGGAGGCAGCAGUAGGGAAUCUUGCGCAAUGGGCGAAAGCCUGACGGAGCAACGCCGCGUGAGUGAUGAAGGUCUUCGGAUCGUAAAACUCUGUUAUUAGGGAAGAACAUAUGUGUAAGUAACUGUGCACAUCUUGACGGUACCUACUCAGAAAGCCACGGCUAACUACGUG
rnacentral:rRNA from 1 species